rnacentral:rRNA from 1 species
GGAUUAGAUACCCUGGUAGUCCACGCCGUAAACGAUGUCUACUAGCCGUUGGGAAACUUGAUUUCUUAGUGGCGCAGCUAACGCGAUAAGUAGACCGCCUGGGGAGUACGGCCGCAAGGUUAAAACUCAAAUGAAUUGACGGGGCCCGCACAAGCGGUGGAGCAUGUGGUUUAAUUCGAUGCAACGCGAAGAACCUUACCAGGUCUUGACAUCCCGAGAAGUUACUAGAGAUAGUUUCGUGCCUUCGGGAACUCGGUGACAGGUGCUGCAUGGCUGUCGUCAGCUCGUGUCG